rnacentral:lncRNA from 1 species
UGAAUUUCAGGUUCAAGUGUACAUUUCCAUGAUUGGAGUGGCUCCUUCAUUUAAGCUUGGUCAAUUGUUGUCAUGUGCUAACCUUUGUGUAUUUUGUAGGCUUUGAGAACAAUUCACUUGUGCUUGUGGCUUGCUCAUUGUUGUCUGAUGAUGCUUUGUCUGUCUGUUUGUUAUUAACUGUUGAUUGUUUGUCUGUACAGUUGAACUGAUUGGUUUAGAUGUUU